rnacentral:lncRNA from 1 species
ACAGGCAGGGGGAAUGGGGAGGGGACGGUAGCGUCAGCCUACACCCACACGCAGUUUCCUGAUAAAAGGUCCUUUGGAAACUUUGAUUCUCUUCUCACCAAGUUGAACGGAGAUGUGUUCCCAUAGUAAGAGUGAGGCCCCUGCAUUUGCUGCCCUCGGUUUUCCCAACUAACACCAGGGCCUCCCCCCUGUACCCCAUUCAUAUGCCUCAGAAGCUGACAAUGACUGUUGGGCUUUUCCAAUGAAUACCAGAACACCAUUUCCUGCAGCCUGAAAAGAAGACAGUAUAAUUGUUUGGCAGCAAGAGGUGCCCUUCCAUGAGAAGCCCAAGCCAUGUGGAGAAGCCACGUCUAGGGACUCCAGUUAACACUCUCAGCUGAGUCCCCAGCUGACAGUCAGCAUCAACUGCCAGCCACCUCUGUCUAAAAGUGGGCUAUCUUGGGCAUCCAGCCCAGUCAAGCCUUCAGAUGAGUCCAGUCCCAGCCACUAUCUCACACAACCACACGAGAGACAUCAAGAACUCCCAGUGGAGUCCAGUCAGCCCAUGGAACUGCAAGAGACAGGAUCUCGCUGCGUUGCUCAGACUGGUCUCGAACUCCUGGGCUUAAGGGAUUCUCCUGCCUCAAUCACAGCCUCCCAAGUAGCUGAGAUUAAAAGUGCUCACCACCGUGCCAGCGAGUUCAGUUUUUGAGUGUCCUCCGACACUGACUCUGUGCUUGGCCCUGUGACUUGCUUUGGCCAAUGGUACAGCAGCAAACUUGAUGCAAACACAACUUGAAAAAGAAGAGGACAGCCAAGUCAUCCCAGCCAAGGCCACCCUGGACCAGCCAGCCUCUUGCCAAGCUGCCAGUGACCACAGAGUCCAAUUAACAACAGCCAGUCCUGGCCCAGGCCAAGCUCAUAUGCCAAUUUCCUCAUGGAACCUUUCACUCCUCCAUCUCUUCGCCAAGUUGAAAUGUUAACUUCUGCUUCUCUGGGAUACUUCGGACCUUUGUUUAAAGCUCUCCCAUCUGCUUUCUGCGCUAUGUUUAGGGUUAUGUCUGGAUGGGAAUAGGUCUGUCUCUUGCCACUACUGGUAAAAUUGGUUCUUGCUUAGCAUGAUGUGGGCUCCCCACAUCUGGCACAGUGACUUGCGCAGGGUGGAGCCAAGACUCUGAGGAGAGGGCUGAACUGUGAACCUAGAAGUACCAUCUCCCCCUGCACACACCUUUGGUCAAGUUGACCCCAAGAAGAAGGACAAGUCCUCUGCACGGCGAUGAGGCCAUACACACAGUCUGUGGCCCGGCUUUGGGAGACUGAUGGGACAAAGGAUGUUUUGCACGAUCCUUGGUCUCUGAGCAAAUAUAUACAUGGGUUAACACA